AGAAGGAUAGCUGGAUCAAAUGGUGGUUCAAUUCCCAAUUUUCCAAGAAAUCUCCAUACUGCUUUCCAUAUUGGUUGCACCAAUUUGCAGUCCCACCAGCAAU
rnacentral:pre_miRNA from 1 species